rnacentral:lncRNA from 1 species
UCAAAAUUCUACUAUAAAUGACCAGAGACCAGAUGUUAUGUCACCUGGGAUGAUAGUUACCAAGGCUCUUAUUCUUUCUUCUCCAGAUGCCUGACAGCUCCUGGCAGCUGCAGUGUGGUUGGUACAAGCAAUAAGUACCCAGCUUUUCUGCCUAUUGCCAUGUAGAGGUUCAGGUAAUUUCAACAUCUUGCCUCUGUACUUAUAUUUCUUAUAGAGACAGCCUGUAACAUUUCAAAAUUCCUUUACUUACAAGAGAAGCUUCAAUGAGAUUUCUUGAACUCGUCCAACCUCUCUGUCGUUUUACACUUCCAGGAACUUCUCA